CAUCAGAAAUUGUCAAUAUAUUAAAAUGCAUUUAAAAGUUACUUCUGGGAAGCAUAUUAAAUAGGCCAAUCAUUUAAUCAUUUGCUAAAUAUCAAAGCCUAUAAAAUCAUAGUUUAAUGUCACCCUGACAUAAAGCAACAUCAAAAUUAGUGCAUCAUCUAUAAAGUGAAGUAUCAUUUGCCUUCAAGUGACAAAUUCUAUUGCCAAAAAAAUACCACUGUACUUCUAAUAAGUGACACUCAUUUUAAUAGACCCUACAAAAAUACAAUAUUUUCAAUGUCCCCCAUAAAACAGUUAACUUACAAAUAUUACUCUCAGAGCUUUGGUGACAUCAAUAUAUGAUACUGUUGUGAAAAUCGUAACAAAAUAUUUGGAACACUGGCAUGUAAAGUAAAUUCAUUAUAUAUAUUUAAAAAAAGAGAGCUAUGUCAAAAUAUGAGAGAGAAUGCAUAUAACCAACUCUGGGAAAUUAUUCUGGAAUGUGAAAUUAAUAUUU
rnacentral:lncRNA from 1 species